GGAAAACGAAUGAGACAUGCGAGUAGAAGGCAAAUUAAUAUGUUGAAUCUCCCCACAGUAAACGCAAUGUUUUAAAGUGUUACAGUGCCUUCGUUAUUACGUGCAAACUCCAAAUAGGGAGAGAGGAGGGUGGAGAGAGAUCACAUACAGAGAGAGAGAGAGAAAGAAAGAAAGAAAGAAAGAAAGAAAGAGAACGCUUCCAUAAGCAGGUUGUCAAUUCAGCAAUAAAGUUUUGAAUGCACUGAUGACGUAUGAUGUCUGCAUGAACAGGGUAUGCAGUGGCAUGCAAAACACAUUCACCAAAGAGGAUCAAAAAUUUAAUAGGUCCAAUUAUACCUUAUUCACACUGUCAGACAGUCCAUAUCUGUUUAUGGUACAUAUCCAAUUUGACAGACUCACUGUCCAUAUUGUGUAUCAUAACUGUUCAGUUCUACCAGAAAGACUCGAAGAUAGGUUAAGAAUUGAUAUGAGUUUAUUUAACAGUAGUUAGCAACCAAGGCUGGAAUGUAACACAGUAUAGUUCUUUGGCAUAGGCCCCGACCAUAGUUCAAAUCCGGGUCACGGAUUCUUGCAGUUCCUGUCUGAAGAUGAAGACAGGCCAGAAUCUAAUUCCCCUCGAGUAUGGACGGAGCCGACCUGGUGAUGGUGGUAGGGAGGGUGGGUUGUAAAUGCUGGCAUCAGUAUCUGCGAACGCAAAGACAGGACAUGACAGCAUGAUGUAACCAAAAAGCUACACAUGCAAUUAGAGCGGUCAGACUGAAUUGGAUUCCCAGACAUCCUCUGGAUGUAGCCUGAAACAGGUUAGAAAAAAAACAGAUUUCAUGUGUUUUUUGGUCGUUUACACGUUUUAAAUCUGAUUGGAUUCCAAUCGGAUAUGCAUCAAAAUCAUAUUUGAACUGACAGUGUAAACAAGGUCUUAUUGCAUUCAGUCAGAGUUCAAUAAUUAUUAUAAAAAUUUUUGGUCCUACACCUUUUAUAGAUAUCACAUAUUUAUACAAAUACAUUUAGACAACUUAACAUAGUCAUUGCUACCAAGAUGUAAGCAUUUUCCAUCAUAAAACAUUUUAGACAUUUUUGAAAGAUUUGUAAAACCUACUUUUUUUAACUCGUCCUAGAGCUUUUAUCCGAUUGCAACAAAAAUUGGUAUGUUGACACUCAUGAAAAAAGUUAUCAAAAUAAUUUUAAUACACUAAUCCAUUGUCGUAAACCACGUCAACAAAUUUUAA